GUUUGUUGAGGGCAAAGUGCGCCAGCGGCAGGCAACAAUGUGUCUGUGGUGUGAGUCCGGUUCCUGGUUGAACUUAACUAGAGUUUGUGAUCUGUAAGACCCACGUGUUUACAAGAACAAGAAUGGCAUUGUGGUAAACCGCUGCAGACAGCUGCCAAGAGUUCCUAAUGAAACAUCAGGCUGCAUAUCACUUUCAAGAGAGACACCGCGAGAGAGGGAACACAAGCAGGGGGAGUGGGAGAGGG